rnacentral:rRNA from 1 species
AUACGGAGGGUGCAAGCGUUGUUCGGAAUCACUGGGCGUAAAGGGCGCGCAGGCGGUUUGGUAAGUCAGAUGUGAAAGCCCACGGCUCGACCGUGGAAGUGCAUUUGAAACUGUCAGACUUGAGUACUAGAGGGGAAAGUGGAAUUCCCGGUGUAGAGGUGAAAUUCGUAGAUAUCGGGAGGAAUACCGGUGGCGAAGGCGACUUUCUGGCUAGAUACUGACGCUGAGGCGCGAAAGCGUGGGGAGCAAACAGGAUUAGAAACCCUAGUAGUCC